AACGAACGCUGGCGGCAUGCCUAACACAUGCAAGUCGAACGAUUGCCUUCGGGUGAUAGUGGCGCACGGGUGCGUAACGCGUGGGAAUCUGCCCUUAGGUUCGGAAUAACAGCUGGAAACGGCUGCUAAUACCGGAUGAUAUCGCGAGAUCAAAGAUUUAUCGCCUGAGGAUGAGCCCGCGUUUGAUUAGGUAGUUGGUGGGGUAAAGGCCUACCAAGCCGACGAUCCAUAGCUGGUCUGAGAGGAUGAUCAGCCACACUGGGACUGAGACACGGCCCAGACUCCUACGGGAAGCAGCAGUGGGGAAUAUUGGACAAUGGGCGCAAGCCUGAUCCAGCAAUGCCGCGUGAGUGAUGAAGGCCCUAGGGUUGUAAAGCUCUUUUACCCGGGAAGAUAAUGACUGUACCGGGAGAAUAAGCCCCGGCUAACUCCGUG
rnacentral:rRNA from 1 species